UACAGAGGGUGCAAGCGUUAAUCGGAAUUACUGGGCGUAAAGCGAGCGUAGGUGGCUUGAUAAGUCAGAUGUGAAAUCCCCGGGCUUAACCUGGGAACUGCAUCUGAUACUGUUAGGCUAGAGUAGGUGAGAGGAAGGUAGAAUUCCAGGUGUAGCGGUGAAAUGCGUAGAGAUCUGGAGGAAUACCGAUGGCGAAGGCAGCCUUCUGGCAUCAUACUGACACUGAGGUUCGAAAGCGUGGGUAGCAAACAGGA
rnacentral:rRNA from 1 species